CACAUUCUGAAAUUGCAUUUUUGUCCCCCCCAGUUUAAUCAUUGGAAUGUGAUACAAAACGCGGCAACGGUGUGCUUUAUGACCACAGGGAUGCCUCCGAAUGGUCGGGUAGGCUGUUUGGAGUGUUUAUCCUACUGAUUUUAGGACCAACCGGACACCACAGAGCGAUCUGACAGGCUGUGUGUAGGCAAAGCUUCUGGUGAGGCUGGCUGGACCAGCAUGGGAGAGUUGAGCUUAUUUCAGUGCUUAUAUGUUGCGCUCGUUCACCGAGUUGUAAAAGGAAGCAGAACCGAAACGGAAUACUCUUUAGUUGAGUGAUGUAGCUGGCAAGACUAUAUCAGCUGUGUUGGUGAACCCUUCCCACAUCUGAACUGGCUGACACAGAGGGCACAACAUGAUUAUAGGUAUGUUUUGAUGUGAGAGAGGAUGCCAGUCCCGUCAUCGACACCUCACCCGCUCUUAAGAUAACCUUCGGGCCAUGGCUAGUUAGGAGACAUUGCUAAAGACAUUGUAAUUGUGAUGAACUGAGAGAAUAUUAGGGUAAAACUGUAAUUCAUUAAUCAUAUGCUGUCUGCCUCUGUUCUUAACUCUUUCCCUUUCUGUCUUCUACACCUCUCUCCCCACCUCGUCUUUCUUCCUCGUUUUAUAAUGCACACCAUAUGUGCAUUGAAGUACAGAUUGAACUCGUAUUUAUCAUAAUUAUAUUGCAUGUAUUUAUAACACCUGGAUAAUUAACUUAUUUCAUUAAAGCGUUUCACAUUCUCCACUGCUUGAAAUUAAGUAUCUCUGUAAGGGGUGUGAACUGGCGGCAGAGAAGUCAGACGCAGGAGAGAAAUAACUGUGUUUCCAACGGUGCAGUUUAUUAACAAAACACACCGGGAAACGGACUAAUAAAAUAAAUGGGUACAUAACCCAACGCACACCAGGACAGACGUGCACAAGCACUUACAAUAAACAAUCACGGACAAGGACAUGAGGGGGAACAGAGGGUUAAAUACACAACAUAUAAUUGAUGGGAUUGGAACCAGGUGUGACGGAAGACAAGACAAAACCAAAGGAAAAUGAAAAGAGGAUCAGCGAUGGCUAGAAGGUUGGUGACUUCGACCGCCGAACGCCGCCCGAACAAGGAGAGGGACCAACUUCGUCGGAAGUCGUGACAAUCUCAUUGAAAUACUAUCGUGUGUCCUCAGAUUAAUGCAGAUGAAUGGAGUUAGAUAUGCAUAGGUUUACUUGCAGCCUUUAUUUAAAUCAUGUUUCUAAUCUAUUGCAUAGUUACAAUGAGUAAUCAUUGAUGUCCCAGGAGCAGGAGUGUAUAAUUGUAAUACAUACAUGCAGACACAGCAUCAUUCAAAGAAUGUAGUUUGAUACACCUGAUAUUGGAUAUGUAUUGGAUAUGACUGAAAAAGAAUGUCUCACAGAGUCAUACCUGAAGCGCACCUUUAUUUGCCAAGGAAGAGUACAUGAUCAGUUACUAUAUUCAAUGUACAGGCUACAAUGUGGGGAUCUCAUGCGGGGUAAUAACUACAGUACAUGUAUACAGGACUUGCAUCCUUGGCACAAUAAAGUUAUUAUAUUCUACUCUAUCCAUAGGCUUCAUUAAUGCCAUUCAGACUUGAAGUUGAUACAACAACUAUGAUAGCUGAGGUGCAUAGAUUGGUAUGAAUAUUAGUUCAGAACCUAACGUAUUAGGGUCCAUACACAGAUCGGCUACAUAAUGUAGCUAGCCACACAUCCAUAGGCAUACAGUUAUUUUUAUCCUCCACUACACAAUAAGCAAGUAACUAGUUAGCUAGCUAUGUUACUUGCAAGGCAAGCUUACACAAUUGUACAUUCAACUUGCAGUAAAUGCUUUAGCUAGCUAGAUUCUUUACAUCCACAGUUUCCCAAGACGACAGCCUGGUUUGCUGGUUUUCUCAGGAGUCCCUAAAACAAUAAACAACACGAAUUACAAUGUCAUACUCAUGUCAUAACACCAGCUAGCUAGCUGGCUAAUGUUAGCUAGUCAGCUAACUUGCUAAACAGCGAAUUUCAUAAAUUCACUUUAUGACAAAUAAAUAUGCACAAUUGUUUGUCUCUACAUAAACUAAGAUAUUCCUCUCAAUUGUAAAUGUUUUGCUUGACUCGUUAUGACGUUAGAAUUACUUACAUUUGCUUUCACCGUAAUGUUUUGUCAGCCAUCUUUGCUGAAGAAAGUCACCAGGGACGGGUGGCUUGCAUCAAAUUCGUCAUUGGAAUCACUCGAUAUGAUUGGUCAUAUAAAAACCUUGGGACCCAAAUGCAUAAUGAGUGCUCUAACUCCCCCGUGUGGUGGUCUGGAGCAUUGAAACUGUGAUGCUGGGUACUUCUAAGUCCUGCGGUGUAAGCUUGCAACUUUUAAAGGAGGAACCACAGUAUAUCCUAUUUAUCUGUCAAGUUUCCAUGCACUACGUUGCAUAUAAUGUGAACAAUGAUGAAAAUUGUUUUGUUAAGAUAGGAAUGUGAUUAAAGGAGUCAGAAAGUAGCCACGCCCCGGGUGAGGUCAGAGAGCGUGUCAGCCUGCUGGAACCAUCCUUUUCGACCAGAGUGCAUAAAAGGACUGUUUAAGAAUUAACAUUGUAGACCAGAACAUUGCCAGGUUGCAGCUGCGUGUGUAAAGUGGUCUGAAUACUGAACCCUGAAUAUCAACACGAGGUGUAUGCGAGAAGCUCAUCUCCCAGACAAUUACUGGUACAGGUGAUUAGCUGUCCCAAGUCAAAAAUCGAGAAAAGCGAAUUUAAGUGAUACCAUCCUACUACUCUUCAAACCAUUCCAAUGAAAAGCCAAACAAACACUCUUCCGAAGAAGGGCUGGUUCCGACAGAGAUAAACGUCGAACGCCACUCACACGUAAAUACAUUCAUGAUUCCUUACUUCAA